AGGGUUUGAUCAUGGCUCAGAUUGAACGCUGGCGGCAGGCCUAACACAUGCAAGUCGAGCGCGCUCUUCGGAGUGAGCGGCGGACGGGUUAGUAACGCGUGGGAACGUACCCAGAUCUACGGAAUAGCCUCGGGAAACUGAGAGUAAUACCGUAUACGCCCUUCGGGGGAAAGAUUUAUCGGAUUUGGAUCGGCCCGCGUUAGAUUAGAUAGUUGGUGAGGUAACGGCUCACCAAGUCUACGAUCUAUAGCUGGUUUUAGAGGAUGAUCAGCAACACUGGGACUGAGACACGGCCCAGACUCCUACGGGAGGCAGCAGUGGGGAAUCUUGGACAAUGGGCGCAAGCCUGAUCCAGCCAUGCCGCGUGAGUGAUGAAGGCCUUAGGGUCGUAAAGCUCUUUCGCCAGAGAUGAUAAUGACAGUAUCUGGUAAAGAAACCCCGGCUAACUCCGUGCCAGCCGCCGCGGUAAUAC
rnacentral:rRNA from 1 species